UACGUAGUUAGCCGUGACUUUCUAAGUAAUUACCGUCAAAUAAAGGCCAGUUACUACCUCUAUCUUUCUUCACUACCAACAGAGCUUUACGAGCCGAAACCCUUCUUCACUCACGCGGCGUUGCUCCAUCAGACUUUCGUCCAUUGUGGAAGAUUCCCUACUGCUGCCUCCCGUAGGAGUUUGGGCCGUGUCUCAGUCCCAAUGUGGCCGAUCAGUCUCUCAACUCGGCUAUGCAUCAUUGCCUUGGUAAGCCGUUACCUUACCAACUAGCUAAUGCACCGCAGGUCCAUCCAAGAGUGAUAGCAGAACCAUCUUUCAAACUCUAGACAUGCGUCUAGUGUUGUUAUCCGGUAUUAGCAUCUGUUUCCAGGUGUUAUCCCAGUCUCUUGGGCAGGUUACCCACGUGUUACUCACCCGUCCGCCGCUCGCUUGUAUCUAGUUUCAUUUAGUGCAAGCACUAAAAUCAUCUAGGCAAGCUCGCUCGACUUGCAUGU
rnacentral:rRNA from 1 species